GAGGAAUAUUGGUCAAUGGACGGAAGUCUGAACCAGCCAAGUAGCGUGCAGGAUGACGGCCCUAUGGGUUGUAAACUGCUUUUGUAUGGGGAUAAAGUUAGGGACGUGUCCCUAUUUGCAGGUACCAUACGAAUAAGGACCGGCUAAUUCCGUGCCAGCAGCCGCGGUAAUACGGAAGGUCCAGGCGUUAUCCGGAUUUAUUGGGUUUAAAGGGAGCGUAGGCUGGAGAUUAAGUGUGUUGUGAAAUGUAGACGCUCAACGUCUGAAUUGCAGCGCAUACUGGUUUCCUUGAGUACGCACAACGUUGGCGGAAUUCGUCGUGUAGCGGUGAAAUGCUUAGAUAUGACGAAGAACUCCGACUGCGAAGGCAGCUGACGGGAGCGCAACUGACGCUUAAGCUCGAAGGUGCGGGUAUCAAACAGGAUUAGAUACCCUGGUAGUCCGCACAGUAAACGAUGGAUGCCCGCUGUUGGUACGUGGUAUCAGCGGCUAAGCGAAAGCAUUAAGCAUCCCACCUGGGGAGUACGCCGGCAACGGUG
rnacentral:rRNA from 1 species